rnacentral:misc_RNA from 1 species
GGUAACUCCAAAUUUCAGGAGAUCGGCAGGCGUAGGUGCAGGCAAUGCCGUUUGAGUCGUCGGAGAUGGCGAAGAAUCUACAAUGUGAGAAAGCGCAGAAGAAGGAAUUUGAAACUUGAUCUGUUCAGCGCGUUUGAGCGCAUCAACUUUGAUCUGAUCGGCUCGUUUAGAAGCUUCGGAAACAAUAACAUCGGCGCGUUUAGAAGCUUCAACAGCAAUUUCUUUAGAUCGUUUGGAAGCCUCAACGGCAA